GCCCCCUUAGCUCAGGGGAUAGAGCACCGCCCUCCGGAGGCGGGAGCGCAGGUUCGAAUCCUGCAGGGGGCGCCA
rnacentral:tRNA from 5 species